rnacentral:rRNA from 1 species
AUUGAACGCUGGCGGCAGGCUUAACACAUGCAAGUCGAGCGGGGAAAAGUAGCUUGCUACUUAACUUAGCGGCGGACGGGUGAGUAAUACUUAGGAAUCUACCUAAUAGUGGGGGACAACAUCUCGAAAGGGAUGCUAAUACCGCAUACGCCCUACGGGGGAAAGCAGGGGAUCUUCGGACCUUGCGCUAAUAGAUGAGCCUAAGUCGGAUUAGCUAGUUGGUGGGGUAAAGGCCUACCAAGGCGACGAU